rnacentral:lncRNA from 1 species
UUAAUAAAUCACGCAAAUCCUUUGUGGCCUAAUUGGGUGACGGAAAGUGCGGUUUCUUACUUUCUUGGGGGUAAGGGCCCCCAGAAAAGCUGGAGAAACAACAUCAGGGUGAGAGUAAGGGCCCUCACCGUUAUGGACAUUGAAUCUCAUGUCCGAGCCUGGCUUCCCCGUGGUGAAGUGACCGAGAGAUGCGAAGAUCAGGACGAGGGUAAGGGCCCCGCCCUUAUGGACCUUGCUCGCUUUUGCCGGUGUGUGCUUCACCGUGGGCGAAGUGUGGCCGUGUGGACACCACUUUCCGUCCCGCUUUCUUUAUUUCUUCUUGAAUGUAUACAAAUAUUUACAAGUUGAUAAAACAGAACAAUAUAGAUAUGAUUACAAUUGAUUCUUAUAUUUAAUUAAGUUCUAUAGUUCCUGUUUAUUGGAUGCUUCUUCUUCAUCAAAGGGUUGGGUGGGUGGGAUUUUCCUUUUAUGUUGUCUCGAAGACCGUUGAAACCAGAGUGAACUGAGAUAAAAUUUGGCUAGCUUUUGCUGAUAACUGAAGAAUGUCGGCUUAGCAAAAUGGGAUUAUAUUGACAAUUUGGCAUUGACACAUGGCAGGUGUUGCCCGGAGAGCAAGGCGGUUGUUUUCUUUGCUUAUCGUUUCCGUUUAGUUUUCGGUAUGGAUGUUGCCUCUUAUUAAUCCUAAUUUAUUUUUUAAAAUAAAUUGCUCA